CGACGCCCGGAUUGAGAGAGAGUAAGUGGGUGCAUUGGGUGAGCGCCCACGACAGAGGCGGUUUUGACCGUUGGGCACUGUCAGUUGCUUAGGACUCGCCUGGGUCUCCAGUCAGCGGCCGGAGGCGACUCCCGGAUUAAGCGCCGGCAAGCUUUGAUACGCAAAUGCCGGCGAUUAGAAACUAGGUCCACCCAACAUGGCCAACAGGACAAGUGCCACCCUCUCCUCCUGGUCACUACAUGUGCCAAGUGUCAUGAUUGCCUCCAGAUAACUCAGGAUAUCAUGGUGACCUGUAUUUACAUAUUAAAGGACUAAGCCAAGCUGGGAAAGGUCCUACACUGUUCUUCUUUCAACCCCAUUGGCAGUAAAAUUUACAAGAAUCAACUCCUGACUUCCACAUUCAAGUCAAAGCCUGAACAGCUGAGGGAGCAACCCCUGACAGCCCAGAGGAAUGUACUGCCAAUAUCAAUGUGGAGAAAUAAAAGAUCUUAAACUGAAAAUCAUAAAAGAUGGGUAACUGAGUGAGGGCUACUCCUACUCAUCGGAUACUUUUUAUUAUUUCUGCCUUUCCUCUCGAAA